GGCGGGAUGGCAGAGUGGUUUAAUGCGGCGGUCUUGAAAACCGUUGACGGGGUAACCUGUCCGUAGGUUCGACUCCUACUCCCGCCGCCA
rnacentral:tRNA from 1 species